UGGCUCAGAGGUUAGAGCACUGACUGCUCUUCCAGAGGACCUGGGUUCAAUUCCCAG
rnacentral:tRNA from 1 species